rnacentral:rRNA from 1 species
GAACGAAGGCUUCGGCCUUAGUGGCGCACGGGUGAGUAACACGUGGAUAUCUGCCUUUUGGUUCGGAAUAACCCUGGGAAACUAGGGCUAAUACCGGAUGGUUCCUACGGGAUAAAGAUUUAUCGCCAAAAGAUGAGUCCGCGUCCGAUUAGCUAGUUGGUGAGGUAAUGGCUCACCAAGGCAACGAUCGGUAGCUGGUCUGAGAGGACGAUCAGCCACACUGGGACUGAGACACGGCCCAGACUCCUACGGGAGGCAGCAGUGGGGAAUAUUGGACAAUGGGGGCAACCCUGAUCCAGCCAUGCCGCGUGAGUGAUGAAGGCCUUCGGGUUGUAAAGCUCUUUUGGCGGGGACGAUGAUGACGGUACCCGCAGAAUAAGCCCCGGCUAACUUCGUG